GCCUGGGUGGCUCAGUUGGUUAAGCAUCUGACUUCAGCUCAGGGUUCAUGGGUUUGAGCCCCGCAUCAGGCU
rnacentral:tRNA from 1 species